UUUUAUUUGUCCAGCUUUUGUGACAUAAUUGACAUACAUCAUUGUGUAAGGUGUGAACACUGUGAUGAUUUGAUGCAUGUCUAUACUGCGGAAUGACUACCGACACUAAGCAAAUCAUCCUGGGAAACUGUUGCUUGGUCUUCUGAUCCCACCUGAAAGAGAUUUCUUGUAGAGAGGCACACUACCCCAAUUUUACCUAUAAAUGAUGACCAUGUAACUUCUCACAUAAACCAAGACACAUUUCAAAGUCGAAUUGCCUCAAAUGAGGGAGACCCAUGCAAGCCUUCCAGGCUGAUGCCUUGAUGCCAGCCAGUGGAUCAGCACUCAUUCUCCUCACGGGGUGGCAGCUGGUGCUCCUGGUGACAUUUCAUUCUUUCCGUGAGAGUGUCAACGUCGUUUCCUCUGAUACAGAAAAGUGAUCUACAGGGAUCAGAAAUUU